rnacentral:rRNA from 1 species
GACGUAGGAUGCAAGCGUUGUCCGGAUUUAUUGGGCGUAAAGAGUUCGUAGGUGGUUUGUUAAGUCUGAUGUUAAAGACUGGGGCUCAACCUCGGGACUGCAUUGGAUACUGGCAGACUUGAGUGCGGUAGAGGCAAGUGGAAUUCCAGGUGUAGCGGUGAAAUGCGUAGAUAUCUGGAGGAACACCGGUGGUGUAGACGGCUUUCUGGACCGUAACUGACGCUGAGACACGAAAGCGUGGGUAGCAAACAGG